rnacentral:rRNA from 1 species
UACGGAGGGUGCAAGCGUUAUCCGGAUUCACUGGGUUUAAAGGGUGCGUAGGUGGGUAGGUAAGUCAGUGGUGAAAUCUCCAAGCUCAACUUGGAAACUGCCGUUGAUACUAUUUAUCUUGAAUAUAGUGGAGGUGAGCGGAAUAUGUCAUGUAGCGGUGAAAUGCUUAGAUAUGACAUAGAACAUCGAUUGCGAAGGCAGCUCGCUGGACUAUUAUUGACACUGAGGCACGAAAGCGUGGGGAGCAAACAGG